GAAUCUUCCGCAAUGGACGAAAGUCUGACGGAGCGACGCCGCGUGAGUGAUGAAGGUCUUCGGAUCGUAAAACUCUGUUGUUAGGGAAGAACAAGUAUCGACCGAAUAAGUCGGUACCUUGACGGUACCUAACCAGAAAGCCCCGGCUAACUACGUGCCAGCAGCCGCGGUAAUACGUAGGGGGCGAGCGUUGUCCGGAAUUAUUGGGCGUAAAGGGCGCGCAGGCGGUCUUCUAAGUCUGAUGUGAAAUCUCGUAGCUUAACUACGAGCGGUCAUUGGAAACUGGGAGACUUGAGGACAGAAGAGGAGAGUGGAAUUCCACGUGUAGCGGUGAAAUGCGUAGAGAUGUGGAGGAACACCAGUGGCGAAGGCGACUCUCUGGUCUGUAACUGACGCUGAGGCGCGAAAGCGUGGGGAGCGAACA
rnacentral:rRNA from 1 species